rnacentral:tRNA from 1 species
GGGGAGAUGGCCGAGUUGGUCUAAGGCGCUACGUUCAGGUCGUAGUUUCGAAAGAAGCGAGGGUUCGAAUCCCUCUCUCCUCA